rnacentral:rRNA from 1 species
UGCCAGCAGCCGCGGUAAUACGUAGGGUGCGAGCGUUAAUCGGAAUUACUGGGCGUAAAGGGUGCGCAGGCGGCCUUGUAAGUCAGAUGUGAAAGCCCCGGGCUUAACCUGGGAAUUGCGUUUGAAACUACAAAGCUAGAGUGCAGCAGAGGGGAGUGGAAUUCCAUGUGUAGCAGUGAAAUGCGUAGAGAUGUGGAAGAACACCGAUGGCGAAGGCAGCUCCCUGGGUUGACACUGACGCUCAUGCACGAAAGCGUGGGGAGCAAACAGGAUUAGAUACCCUGGUAGUCCACGCCCUAAACUAUGUCAACUAGUUGUCGGAUCUAAUUAAGGAUUUGGUAACGUAGCUAACGCGUGAAGUUGACCGCCUGGUGAGUACUAUC